AUACGGAGGGGGUUAGCGUUGUUCGGAAUUACUGGGCGUAAAGCGCACGUAGGCGGACUGGAAAGUUGGGGGUGAAAUCCCGGGGCUCAACCCCGGAACUGCCUCCAAAACUUCCAAUCUAGAGAUCGAGAGAGGUGAGUGGAAUUCCAAGUGUAGAGGUGAAAUUCGUAGAUAUUUGGAGGAACACCAGUGGCGAAGGCGGCUCACUGGCUCGAUACUGACGCUGAGGUGCGAAAGCGUGGGGAGCGAACAGGAUUAGAAACCCCAGUAGUCC
rnacentral:rRNA from 1 species